CCAAUAGCGUAUAUUAAAGUUGUUGCAGUUAAAAAGCUCGUAGUUGAAUUUCGGGAUCAAGGUGCUGGUCAUGCCUUUGGUAUGUACUGACAUCAUUGAUUUCUCCCUUCUGAUGAACUGUGAUGUCAUUAAUUUGGUGUCAUGGAGAAUCAGGACUGUUACUUUGAAAAAAUUAGAGUGUUUAAAGCAAGCACACGCUUGAAUACAUUAGCAUGGAAUAAUGAAAUAGGAUUUUUGAUCCUAUUUUGUUGGUUUCUAGGAUCGACGUAAUGAUUAAUAGGGAUUGUUGGGGGCAUUAGUAUUCAAUUGUCAGAGGUGAAAUUCUUGGAUUUAUUGAAGACUAACUACUGCGAAAUCAUUUGCCAAGGAUGUUUUCAUUAAUCAAGAACGAAAGUUAGGGGAUCGAAGACGAUCAGAUACCGUCGUAGUCUUAACCAUAAACUAUGCCGACUAGGGAUCGGAUGAUGUUAAUUUUUAAUUACUCAUUCGGCACCUUACG
rnacentral:rRNA from 1 species